AGUACCCUGCGGGGUGCGUGAUAGAUCUUUUUUUAACCCACAUUUCGUUAUAAGGGACGCUGGAUCAGAGCGUGGUUCGCAGGCCUCCCGGCUGCCGUUCGCGGCUGGAAGUUGGAAGCGGUAAAGCGCUCUGGAGGCGACCCACCUGUCCAUGAAGGUGCAGGUUAUAACGGGGUCUACACGGCUCUCGCGGGGUACUA
rnacentral:other from 1 species